rnacentral:rRNA from 1 species
GAUGAACGCUAGCUACAGGCUUAACACAUGCAAGUCGAGGGGAAACGAUAGAGAAAGCUUGCUUUUUCUAGGCGUCGACCGGCGCACGGGUGAGUAACGCGUAUCCAACCUGCCCAUCACUUGGGGAUAACCUUGCGAAAGUAAGACUAAUACCCAAUGACGUCCAUAGAAGACAUCUGAAAGGGAUUAAAGAUUUCUCGGUGAUGGAUGGGGAUGCGUCUGAUUAGCUUGUUGGCGGGGUAACGGCCCACCAAGGCGACGAUCAGUAGGGGUUCUUGGAGGACGGUCCCCCACAUUGGAACUGAGACACGGUCCAACCUCCUACGGGAGGCAGCAGUGAGGAAUAUUGGGCAAUGGGCGAGAGCCUGAACCAGCCAAGUAGCGUGCAGGAUGACGGCCCUAUGGGUUGUAAAUUGCUUUUAUAAGGGAAUAAAGUGAGCCUCGUGAGGCUUUUUGCAUGUACCUUAUGAAUAAGGACCGGCUAAUUCCGUGCCAGCAGCCGCGGUAA